UGGUCCGUAAUGAACUCUUGUGCGAGGA
rnacentral:sRNA from 1 species